AUGAGAACUCUUGGGUGGAAUAAGUCACCAGUUAAAAUGAACUCGUUGCAAGCUUCACAUUAUCUCACUCUCCAGUCUUGCUUGAGUGAAUUCUUAUCUUCAGAUCAAGGUUGUUUUUCACUAGAAAUGAAUCAAAUUCAGGCACAGGACCAGCUAUCUGUCAGGAGGAGCAGCUCUUCCAGAGUAUCUUUCUAAAAUCCAGAUCCAAAGAUGUCGCUAAGAAUAAAGGUCUGGUUAGCAAGGAGGACAAGCUAGGAAGUCUACACCACGGAGACGGCCACAUUCCAGGUUUCCCCGUCAUCUCCCUCUCAC
rnacentral:lncRNA from 1 species